UGGUCACAUCCCGAUGAAUCAUUAGCUCCCGUACGGUCACCGAAGUUAAGCAACGCCGAAUCUGGUCAGUACCGAGAUGGCUGACCACUUGGGAAUACCAGGUGGU